rnacentral:rRNA from 1 species
GUAGGUGGCAAGCGUUGUCCGGAAUUAUUGGGGCGUAAAGCGCGCGCAGGCGGUUCUUUGAGUCUGAUGUGAAAGCCCACGGGCUCAACCGUGGAGGGUCAUUGGAAACUGGAGAACUUGAGUACAGAAGAGGAAAGCGGAAUUCCACGUGUAGCGGUGAAAUGCGUAGAGAUGUGGAGGAACACCAGUGGCGAAGGCGGCUUUCUGGUCUGUAACUGACGCUGAGGCGCGAAAGCGUGGGGAGCAAACAGGAUUAGAUACCCAGGUAGUCCACGCCGUAAACGAUGAGUGCUAAGUGUUAGGGGGUUUCCGCCCCUUAGUGCUGCAGCUAACGCAUUAAGCACUCCGCCUGGGGAGUACGGCCGCAAAGGCUG